rnacentral:rRNA from 1 species
CCUACGGGAGGCAGCAGUGAGGAAUAUUGGUCAAUGGACGAGAGUCUGAACCAGCCAAGUAGCGUGAAGGAUGACUGCCCUAUGGGUUGUAAACUUCUUUUAUAUGGGAAUAAAAUGUUCCACGUGUGGCUUUUUGUAUGUACCUUAUGAAUAAGGAUCGGCUAACUCCGUGCCAGCAGCCGCGGUAAUACGGAGGAUCCGAGCGUUAUCCGGAUUUAUUGGGUUUAAAGGGAGCGUAGGUGGAUUGUUAAGUCAGUUGUGAAAGUUUGCGGCUCAACCGUAAAAUUGCAGUUGAUACUGGCAGUCUUGAGUACAGUAGAGGUGGGCGGAAUUCGUGGUGUAGCGGUGAAAUGCUUAGAUAUCACGAAGAACUCCGAUUGCGAAGGCAGCUCACUGGACUGCAACUGACACUGAGGCUCGAAAGUGUGGGUAUCAAACAGGAUUAGAUACCCGGGUAGUC